rnacentral:rRNA from 1 species
GGGCCCGCACAAGCGGCGGAGCAUGCGGAUUAAUUCGAUGCAACGCGAAGAACCUUACCAAGGCUUGACAUAUACUGGACCGCAUCAGAGAUGGUGUUUCCCUUCGGGGCUGGUGUACAGGUGGUGCAUGGUUGUCGUCAGCUCGUGUCGUGAGAUGUUGGGUUAAGUCCCGCAACGAGCGCAACCCUCGUUCUAUGUUGCCAGCACGUUAUGGUGGGGACUCAUAGGAGACUGCCGGGGUCAACUCGGAGGAAGGUGGGGAUGACGUCAAAUCAUCAUGCCCCUUAUGUCUUGGGCUUCACGCAUGCUACAAUGGCCGGUACAGAGGGUUGCGAUACUGUGAGGUGGAGCUAAUCCCUAAAAGCCGGUCUCAGUUCGGAUUGGGGUCUGCAACUCGACCCCAUGAAGUCGGAGUCGCUAGUAAUCGCAGAUCAGCAACGCUGCGGUGAAUACGUUCCCGGGCCUUGUACACAC